rnacentral:rRNA from 1 species
GACGAACGCUGGCGGCGUGCUUAACACAUGCAAGUCGAACGGAAAGGCCCUGCUUUUGUGGGGUGCUCGAGUGGCGAACGGGUGAGUAACACGUGAGUAACCUGCCCUUGACUUUGGGAUAACUUCAGGAAACUGGGGCUAAUACCGGAUAGGAGCUCCUGCUGCAUGGUGGGGGUUGGAAAGUUUCGGCGGUUGGGGAUGGACUCGCGGCUUAUCAGCUUGUUGGUGGGGUAGUGGCUUACCAAGGCUUUGACGGGUAGCCGGCCUGAGAGGGUGACCGGCCACAUUGGGACUGAGAUACGGCCCAGACUCCUACGGGAGGCAGCAGUGGGGAAUAUUGCACAAUGGGCGGAAGCCUGAUGCAGCAACGCCGCGUGCGGGAUGACGGCCUUCGGGUUGUAAACCGCUUUCGCCUGUGACGAAGCGUGAGUGACGGUAAUGGGUAAAGAAGCACCGGCUAACUACGUGCCAGCAGCCGCGGUGAUACGUAGGGUGCGAGCGUUGUCCGGAUUUAUUGGGCGUAAAGGGCUCGUAGGUGGUUGAUCGCGUCGGAAGUGUAAUCUUGGGGCUUAACCCUGAGCGUGCUUUCGAUACGGGUUGACUUGAGGAAGGUAGGGGAGAAUGGAGUUCCUGGUGGAGCGGUGGAAUGCGCAGAUAUCAGGAGGAACACCAGUGGCGAAGGCGGUUCUCUGGGCCUUUCCUGACGCUGAGGAGCGAAAGCGUGGGGAGCGAACAGGCUUAGAUACCCUGGUAGUCCACGCUGUAAACGGUGGGUACUAGGUGUGGGGUCCAUUCCACGGGUUCCGUGCCGUAGCUAACGCUUUAAGUACCCCGCCUGGGGAGUACGGCCGCAAGGCUAAAACUCAAAGGAAUUGACGGGGCCCCGCACAAGCGGCGGAGCAUGCGGAUUAAUUCGAUGCAACGCGUAGAACCUUACCUGGGUUUGACAUGGAUCGGGAGUGCUCAGAGAUGGGUGUGCCUCUUUUGGGGUCGGUUCACAGGUGGUGCAUGGCUGUCGUCAGCUCGUGUCGUGAGAUGUUGGGUUAAGUCCCGCAACGAGCGCAACCCUUGUUCACUGUUGCCAGCACGUUAUGGUGGGGACUCAGUGGAGACCGCCGGGGUCAACUCGGAGGAAGGUGGGGAUGACGUCAAGUCAUCAUGCCCCUUAUGUCCAGGGCUUCACGCAUGCUACAAUGGCUGGUACAGAGAGUGGCGAGCCUGUGAGGGUGAGCGAAUCUCGGAAAGCCGGUCUCAGUUCGGAUUGGGGUCUGCAACUCGACCUCAUGAAGCUGGAAUCGCUAGUAAUCGUAGAUCAGCAUGCUACGGUGAAUACGUUCCCGGGUCU